rnacentral:rRNA from 1 species
GUAAUGCUUGGGAAUCUGGCUUAUGGAGGGGGAUAACUACGGGAAACUGUAGCUAAUACCGCGUAAUAUCGAGAGAUUAAAGGGUGGGACCGCAAGGCCACAUGCCAUGAGAUGAGCCCAAGUGGGAUUAGGUAGUUGGUGGGGUAAAGGCCUACCAAGCCGACGAUCUCUAGCUGGUCUGAGAGGGUGAUCGGCCACACUGGGACUGAGACACGGCCCAGACUCC